GAACGAACGCUGGCGGCGCGCUUAACACAUGCAAGUCGAACGAGAAGGCGUAGCAAUACGCUUGUACAGUGGCGAACGGGUGAGUAAUACGUGGGCGACCUACCCUCGAGUGGGGAAUAACCCGCCGAAAGGCGGGCUAAUGCCGCGUAUGCUUCCAUCUUUAUGGAGGUGGAAGGAAAGCCGUGCCGUGGGCACGGCGCUCAAGGAUGGGCUCACGUCCUAUCAGCUUGUUGGAGGGUAACGGCCUACCAAGGCUCCGACGGGUAGCUGGUCUGAGAGGACGAUCAGCCACACUGGCACUGCGACACGGGCCAGACUCCUACGGGAGCAGCAGUGAGGAAUAUUGCGCAAAUGGGCGAAAGCCUGACGCAGCGACGCCGCGUGGGGGA
rnacentral:rRNA from 1 species